rnacentral:rRNA from 1 species
UUUAACGAGGAACAAUUGGAGGGCAAGUCUGGUGCCAGCAGCCGCGGUAACCCCAGCUCCAAUAGCGUAUACUAAAGUUGCUGCAGUUAAAAAGCUCGUAGUUGGAUUUCAGGACAGGAUCUAUUGGUUGGUAUGAUUUACUAACCUUUAGCUUCCGCCUAAUCAGCCACUUGUCAUUUUGGGUGCUCUUUAUCGGGUGCUCAGAAUACUCGGCACGUUUACUUUGAAAAAAUUAGAGUGCUCAAAGCAGGCCUUGUGCUUGAAUACUGUUGCAUGGAAUAAUGGAAUAGGACUUCGGUUCUAUUUUGUUGGUUUUCGGAAUCGAAGUAAUGAUUAAUAGAGACAGACGGGGGCAUCUGUAUGGUGGUGUUAGAGGUGAAAUUCGAUGAUCGCCGCCAGACAAACAACUGCGAAAGCAUUUGUCUAGGAUGUUUUCAUUAAUCAAGAACGAAAGUCAGAGGUUCGAAGACGAUCAGAUACCGUCCUAGUUCUGACCAUAAACUAUGCCAACUGACAAUCGAGAUUUAUUUGUUCUAAUCAUCUCGGCAGUCCCUGGGAAACCUUUAAGUCUAUCGGUUCUGGGGGGAGUAUGGUUGCAAAGGCGAAACUUAAAGGAAUUGACGGAAGGGCACCACCAGGUGUGGAGCCUGCGGCUUAAUUUGACCCAACACGAGAAAACUCACCCGGCCCGGACACUGUGAGGAUUGACAGAUUGAUAGCUCUUUCUUGAUUCAGUGGGUGGUGGUGCAUGGCCGUUCUUAGUUGGUGGAGUGAUUUGUCUGGUUAAUUCCGAUAACGAACGAGACUCUAACCUGCUAACUAGUUGCCACGUGCUUAAUUGCGUGGAUUCAACUUCUUAGAGGGAUUCGCUACUCUAUAGUGGCACGAAACUGAGCAAUAACAGGUCUGUGAUGCCCUUAGAUGUUCGGGGCCGCACGUGCGCUACACUGACGAUAUCAGCGAGUUUAUUCCUAAGCCGAAAGGUUUGGGAAAUCUUAUGAAUUAUCGUCAUGUCAGGGAUUGGGGCUUGUAAUUAUUCCCCAUGAACGAGGAAUACCCAGUAAGCGCAAGUCAUAAGCUUGCGUUGAUUACGUCCCUGCCCUUUGUACACACCGCCCGUCGCUACUACCGAUUGGAUGACUUAGUGAGGCCUUUGGAUUGGAAUCAAUAGAUUGGCGCAAGACAAUUUGUUGAAUCCGAGAAAAUCGUCAAACUUGGCCAUCUAGA